GAGCUCUUUCUUGAUUCUGUGGGUGGUGGUGCAUGGCCGUUCUUAGUUGGUGGAGUGAUUUGUCUGCUUAAUUGCGAUAACGAACGAGACCUUAACCUGCUAAAUAGCCCGUACUGCUUUGGCAGUUCGCCGGCUUCUUAGAGGGACUAUCGGCUCAAGCCGAUGGAAGUUUGAGGCAAUAACAGGUCUGUGAUGCCCUUAGAUGUCCUGGGCCGCACGCGCGUUACACUGACAGAGCCAGCGAGUAUUUCCUUGGCCGGAAGGUCCGGGUAAUCUUGUUAAACUCUGUCGUGCUGGGGAUAGAGCAUUGCAAUUAUUGCUCUUCAACGAGGAAUCCCUAGUAAGCGCAAGUCAUCAG
rnacentral:rRNA from 1 species